UGUAAGUUUUUUCUGGACUUAAAUCAGCCCAAGUUACCAUGUAGUUCCGCCACUGGGCUUGUACGUAUUCAAAGUAUUUUCGUUGUUUUGUUAACUCACAAAAGUUAUCCCCAUGGUAUUUGCGUAAUUAGAAAAUUAUAAUAAAACCCUUUAAACUCCUAAAUCAUAUAAGGCUCCACGUCGCGCACUGAGAAUACCUACAACUGGGUGAGCGUCCCGGCCCCUUUGAAAAUUCUCCAUUCCACUUUUCCGCAAACUCUCACCCUAAUGUGUCUUCUCUGAUGUCUCUUCACGAAACUCAUCGCUGGAUUUUCUACAACAGAUGUUCAUCCAACACCACCAGUUGUGUCAAGAGAUCGUAUACGAUUCAUAAUCUUACAGAUAUGUAAUCAAAUGUUCGUAAACCCUAACUCUAAUGUGUUUGAUUUUAUUUUUAAGUACACAAAAAUCAGAAGGGAUUUCGAUGCUGCUAAGUCGAUUGCUGAUCAAAGAAGUUCUAAUUAAAGUUUAAACAAUUUUCAAAGAGGUCAAUUUCUCGAGUUUCAGCGGCAAGCCUCUUAAGCAAGUGCCUUUCAGGUUGCCACCAUGCGAGCACUCUCAGUUGCAUCUUAUGGACAGAAACCAGGUGAACAAUACUAGCAAGAACAUUAUGGAUAGAAACAAGUAGAGUUAUUGGGUUGAAACCACUUGGAAUGCUUAAAUCUUUGACCAUUUGUAGUUGGUCGCUGUCAUUCAUGCUUACAGCCAUCUUUGAGAUGAUGAAACCACUUGGAAUGCUUAAAUCUUUGACUAUUCCAACCCAUGCUGAAUGACUUUUAUGUGCAAUAUGCCGUGGAACUAAUAAUUAAACGGACAAGGAGUGUAUCACCCUUGCUUACGCGACAAUGCAUGGAUGGCUCCUGAAGUUAUAUAUAAUGAGCCGGCAGAUGCGAAAUCUGAUGUAAAUAGCUUUGGAGUUGUAUGGAGCUUACUAACCCAAAAAUUCUUUGGGACGGUCUCAUCCCAAUACUGGUAUCUCAGAAUUCUUUGCCGUUGUUCGUGGACGAACGACUUGAAAUGCCUGAAGAUAUUGACAUUCAAUGGGAAUCUAUCAUCAAGACUUGCUUGCACAGGUGCGUAUUCUGUGGAAUGCUGCUAUAUGAACCCAUGUAACAUAAAAUCGUAGGGAAAUUUCAUACUGUUCAAUUUUCUACUUUGUUUUCCUUUGAUGAAAACUUAGGGACACAAAAUGCAAAUACAUAAGAAAAAAGAUUGGGAAAACAAGCACAGUCUACUGACAUUAGAAGAUGAGCCAUAGACAAGUAUCAAAAACAAAUAUGUAUUUUUUGUCUCUCCGCAAUUUUGUUGGUAUGAAGGUUGAAAGGGUAUGUUCUUUCUGCUUGAUGUAUGUCAAUCUAAUUAACAGUUAUAAAAAUUAAUAUUUUAUUCUCAGGA